CAAUUCCAAUACUAGCUCCCUUCCCCCUCACUGUUGGUCAGCCUUCCACUAUGCCCCACCCACCUGCCUCCUCUCUCCAAAAGUUUCAAGUGCCAGGCACAGUUAACAAAAGCAAUGGAAUGUGGAUUUUUCCCUGUCACGGCUUCUAGUGAAAGCAGCGAUGCAAAAGAAGCUUAGACUCUCUGUGAAGCUCGCUGGAGACUUGUCUUUCAGCUUACUUGUCAUGCCUUGCUUAAUUAUUCAUGUAUGAGUCCAAGAGAGAGAAAGGGGGCUUGACUUCCCACUCUUAGUCCUAGGAUCAAGAGACAGUGGAACACAAUCCAUUGGAACAGCACAAGGUAAUACCUCACUACCUUAGCCAAGGCUAAGAGACUGACAGCAGGCCUGCAGCCGCAUGUGCAGGAACAGACCCCAAAAAACCUCCCUGCUCCUGCAAAUCCUCAUAUUGUUUCCCUUGUCAAUAUCAAUCAUGCAGCUUCAUUUAGUACUAAAGCUAGGUGUGGUUAAGGCCAACAAGGGAAGGGAUGGAACAAAUUUGCACAGGAAAGGGUAAGAGAACACACUAUGUGAGUUUCGUAGGCCACUACAAUUAUAUUGCAUUUGGUCUUUUCCAUAGAGACAACUUGACUACUUCCUUCCCAACCACACCAAGCAUCCUCUUUGCUUAAGUCUAGAGUCCAUGGAUGUGGAUGUUAUCCACAAAGAUUUCUGCUCAUAUUUACUUUUUCUGCAGAUUAUUAAAAGAAGAAUAGUUCAUAUAGAAUUUUAGUGUCAUAGGCAAUUGGUAAACCACCAGUGAAAUCUAAAAUCGAACAAGGAAAUAUAUCCAUGGCUCUUUAGGCAUUCAAAAAUGCGUUUAUUGUUCCAAUGGUUUCAUGUAAUGGAAGCAAUGCUGGAGAUAUGUAUGCUACUGAUUCAAUAUAUCAAAAUAGUUUAAAUAUUCUAGUAAAAUUAAUCUCCAAGCAAAGCACUGAAUAUAAUGUUCUGGUAUUUCUACUGCAUUUUACUGAGUUUUUGACAUUUAAGUUUAGCAAUUUUGACUACUGCAAAGAUAAUUAUUUAUGCCUUUCAUAAUAACUAUUCAGCAUAUUUUAAAAAAAAUGUACAAAAGUGAAACACAUUUCAAAUCCGCAUGGAUUUCUGUGUUAGAAGGGCAGAACACUCACAUCGCUGCUAUAUAGAAUAAAUAAUUAUGUACAUGCAUAUAUUCUCACAUGUGAAUGCAUUACAAUUGAACAUAAACUGUUUACUGAGAAUCCACAGAAAACACAUCAAGGAAACUAAGAUUUCAAAUUAUGAUAAGCUAGAAUGUGACUAUUAGGAAACCAUAGGAAACAGGAGAAAUGUUUAAUAAAGUAUAAAAAAGCAUUUUACUUCUGCUCUUACCGACUCACUAGCCACAAUGCAGAAACUGCAGGAAGUGUUUCCUAUACAUAGUGGGAGGACUUUCUUUGUCGCAACCAACUCAUGCUAGUUCUGAAGGCAAGAGAAUUUUACUGCACAGCAGAGGGAGCUGCUAAAAUAAUCCAAAUACUGCAUCGUAUGGGGUAAAGUAUCAAGGUGUGAGAUUUGAUGUUUGUAAUACAGCUAGAACUCUCUUGAAAUGUAGACCAUUUCAUUUUAAAUACUAUAUUGUUUUUUCGUGAUAUUUUUGAACUACAAAUAAGAUAUGUCCAGCGUGCAUAGGAAUGUGUUCAUGUUUUUUUCAAGCUAUAGUCCAGCCCCUCAACAGUCUGAGGGACCGUGAACUAGCCCUUCACUUAAAAAGUCUGAGGACCCCCAUCUUGACCACACUUUAACUACCAUAACUCAAUGCUAUGGAAUCCUGGGAGCUGAAGCUUGAUAAGGAAAAGCAGCACUCUUUGGCAAAGAAAACAAGAGCUUGUAAAACUACAACUUGAAUGGUUCCACUACAUUGACCCAUGGCAGUUAAAGUGGGGCCAAACUAUAUUAAUGGAGCAAUGGGUUAAACCCUUUUGCUGGCAGACCGCUGACUUGAAGGUUGGGUUGCUGACCUGAAGGUUGCUGGUUCGAAUCCAACAUGGGGAGAAUGCGGAUGAGCUCCCUCUAUCAGCUCCAGCUCCAUGCAGAGACAUGAGGGAAGCCUCCCAUAAAGAUAGUAAAACAUCAAAACAUCCGGGCAUCCCUUGGGCAAUGUCCUUGAAGACAGCCAAUUCUCUCACACCAAAAGCAACUUGCAGUUUCUCAAGCUGCUCCUGACACACAUACAAUUGUAUUAAUUCUACAGUAUAGAUAAACUUCUGGAGUUCUAUAUCAGUGGCUUACAUAAGGUAACUGAAUAUGAAUACUGAGGAAGCUGCUGCAGACACUUGCAACAGCUGUGGCAUGUCUGUAUUCUUGGUGGAGGAUGUAGAUAUUAGCAAGUUUAAGUUGGUGCCCAGCAAACCGAGCCUCCAUGCAUCUAGUCUUCAGUAUAUUAGGGAUCAUGAGGUUUUCUAGAGCAGAGCAGACUAUCCAGGAUCAGAAACACACAGGAGGUAUUUCUCAGGAAGAGACCAGUUCCCAAGCACAAAAGGUAGACAUCUGGAGUAAUGUGACACAAGAAGCACAACAACCAGGGAUCAUUUUGUGAGUUUGAAGGUACAAAAUUGAUUCACACUUAUCAGUGAUGAGGAACAGCAACCAAAGCACCAGUGAGUCCUCAGAGAACAAACAUGCAAGUAAACUUGAGGGGUUCAGCACACAGAAUAGCCCCUACCAAUCCUCAGAGGAGACACAAAGUGGAAACGCUGUCAUACUGAAAAUGGACUAAACUUAUUUUCUGUUGUUUGAGUAUUCAGGACAUGGAACAAUGGGCUCAAACUACAGGAAAACAGAUUCCACAUAACUUUGUUAUGCUUGUUUGCUGCUGCCCUGGAGACUAGGACGCGGAACAAUGGCUUCAAACUACAGGAAAGGAGAUUACACCUGAACAUUACGAAGAACUUCCUCACAGUGAGAACUGUUUGGCAGUGGAACUCUCUGCCCCAGAAUGUGGUGGAGGCUCCCUCUUUGGAGGCUUUUAAGCAGAGGCUGGAUGGUCAUCUGUCGGGGGUGCUUUGAAUGAGAUUUUCCUGCUUCUUGCAGGGGGUUGAACUGGAUGGCCCAGGAGGUCUCUUCCAACUCUACAAUUCUAUAUUCCAUAGCCAUUUCCUUGCUUUUCAGCCAAAAAUGAAUAAACAAAUGACUAUGUA